rnacentral:lncRNA from 1 species
UGUCCAUUAUAACGCUUCCAAGGUUCUCAAACUCGAGCGAGAUAUGGAAUCAGGUUCUUGGCAUGGACACUUGCGCCGAUACAAUCGUAGGCAAUGCUCUUCAGCGAGGAAUAUCUGGAGGACAGAAAAGAAGACUCACAGCAGGUCAGCAUCACCAAUAUCCAAAAACUUUAAUAUUAACCAUGAACAAUCACUUACAGGAGAAGUGCUGGCUGGUCCCGCAAGAAUUUUGUUCAUGGAUGAGAUUUCUACGGGACUGGACAGCUCCACCACGUACCGAAUUAUCAGUUUCCUGCAGCAAACCGUGAAAGCUUUGAGCAAAACGAUGCUGAUCUCGCUGCUGCAACCACCCCCAGAGGUUUUCGAGCUGUUUGACGAUCU